AGGCGGAGCUAAUCCCUUAAAGCCAUUCUCAGUUCGGAUUGUAGGCUGAAACUCGCCUACAUGAAGCUGGAGUUACUAGUAAUCGCAGAUCAGAAUGCUGCGGUGAAUGCGUUCCCGGGUCUUGUACACACCGCCCGUCACACCACGGAAGUUGGGGGCGCCCGAAGCCACUUAGCUAACCCUUUUGGGAAGCGAGUGUCGAAGGUGAAAUCAAUAACUGGGGUGAAGUCGUAACAAGGUAAC
rnacentral:rRNA from 1 species